rnacentral:lncRNA from 1 species
ACUUGCUUUUCAGUAUGAGGAUAAAAUGAGCUCAAAUUAAAUAAUAUGGGUCUCUUAAUUUGCACAAUUUUAUUUAAACUGCAGUUUAUAUCUUAUCAAAAUUAUGUUGCCAGUUCUGAACAUGUUUCAAAAAAACAAAAAAAUGUAAAAAUUCUUCUAGUAAAUGUUACCAACUAUCCUUGUAAGACAAAAAUCUGGACCAACAGCUUAAAACUUUAAAGUGUCAACAAAAAAAAAUGAAAAAUGUUGUUUUGGGGCAUUUUGUAAGUUGAAACAGAGGUUAUAUGGCAUUGAAGAUUAAAAGUUUUAGAGUGCCUUUUGAUCAAUUUUUAAAGUAUUUUUCAACACAGGGCAUUGAAAAUGUACUUUUUCAACGUAAACCAAUUAAAAAACUUAUCUUAUUGAAAUGUGGAUUCUUUCUUGAUUGCAAAAAUAUAUAUUCACUUCUAAUAAAAAUUCAAAUGACUAAAAUAGACAUAAUGAUUGAUGGGAA